CUGGUCAAAAGUAAUGCACAAUAUAGGGAAUAGGGUGCCAUUUGGGACACAAACAGAGACUUGGUAUGAGACAAAAAACCCAGGAAUCCAAUGACAAAUUUAUUGCAUACUACAUGUCCUGUAACAGCCUUUAUAGCGUAUAGAGAACAUAAAUGAUGAACACAUCAGAAUGUAUAUAGCUCUGACUUCACAGUAUACAAAUCACAGAACAAAGUAGUACCCUGUUUGACAUUUAAAUAAUACAAAGUGCACAAUUAAAGUUCAUUAAAUUCAACUGCAUCAACAACUGUUAAAACAGAACAGUUUCUCUCUCAGAAAAAGUAAAGGACAACUGCAUUAAAGCUUUACAUUCAGAGACCUAAAGAAAGGUAUAUUAUUGGAUUAUAAGGAGAUAUUUUGCUGAAAGUUGUCCAUCAGUCUAGGUGGUUCCAAAAGUGACCCAUGCAUUACAUUGGAUGGAAACAAAAAUAAAAACCAUAAACCUUCAUAUGUACAUAAUAUCAUUUUUUCUCUAAGCAUAUUUGGCACCAUUUUUUAGCAUAGAAUACAAGUACAACGUAUAACACAGCUUUUGCAAUAAUUUGGAGGUAAUAUAACAUUCUGGCACAACACAAGAAUAAGUAUUUAUGGAAAGGAAAGAUUAUAUAUGAAUUCCUUUUCGUUGAGGGCAGUAAACUGGCUGAACAACUUCUCCAGUUUGAUGCUAAAAAGCUACCUCUGCAGGAGGGAUUCUCCCUAUAAUGAACAUAGUCAGAAUCAACUCCUGCAGAACCAACACCUGUCUAUAACCAUCAACGGACCAAACACCAUAUUCACUGACUGCACAAAUAUGAUGUUCAGAGCGCAAAUACUACCUAUAAUAACAACCAAAGCACCCUUUCUCAGAAUAAAAAAAAUCUGUGGUCCUCAACCUCUGGUCCGUGGACCGGCACCAGUCCCAGGGAUGCUGCUGACCAGUCCAUCAGAUGGUUAGCUGACAAUAAUGUAGCCAGAUCUCAAGUGCUGUUUUGAUAUAGGCCUAAGGAGUCCUUUGAGGAGGAAGGACCAUAGCAACUUGACGGUUCUUGGUACAAGAGGGACCAUCGUUUUCCGGUCCCAGUGGUACAGAAAAAGUUGAGAAGCACAGUUAUAUGACACAGAAUUACUGUGGGAACCUUUAAAGGGUCAUUUUGGGGAAUGUAAACACAACCACUUCAUAUUCUGGUUUUUAACCCUCAGUUAACCCAGGAGAAUGGGGUGCCAUGGUUGGUAUUAUGUGGCACAGCUUUUGAUGUAUUUGGGUUACUUUAAGGGGUUUUCCAGACCUGUCUUAAACCAUCUCGACAAACAAAAAGUAGGUAUUAUUUAUAUCAUUAAUAAUAUAUUCAACUAUACUAUAUUUAUUAAUAAC
rnacentral:lncRNA from 1 species